UUACAUAUUUUAAAAUUUUAAAUACAAAAAUAAUUAUAGAUAUUUGACUUUUUCUAUCAUAAUAUGCUGAGAAAAUGGAUACAGAAUAGUCAGCACAUGUUUUUUUGUUGCUGUUGUGAAAUAUGACUUUCAAUGGCAGACAAGACACUCUCCUAGAAACUAAUUAGAUCCUAAAUAAAACACUGGUUUCUUGCUUCUUUUGAUGGAAAUAGGUAAAAUAAACUCGAACUCCAAUCCCUCCCCCUCCACAAAAGAAGUAAAUAAAAAGACACAAGCUGAGCCUGUGUGGGAGCUUGGAGCCCUGAGCAGAUAAAUGUGCUAAGCAAGAACCAAAAGAGGAAAAUUCUUCUGCUGACAGAAGAUGUCAAUUGAAGUGCUGUAAACUGCCAUUUGGAUCCUGAGCCUAGAGUCAACAGCAAGGAGCAGAACUGAACCUCACCUUUGACCUUAAGCCAGGACCCUCAAAGAAAACUAAAGUGGCCCCAGGGUUUGUCACUGGGGAAGCCCUUGACUUUUGGAGUGGGCAGCUGAUGCUGUUGGAUCUAUCAAGUGCAGGAUGAGGUGCUUGGCAUCUCUGGAAAAUGCUAGGAUUCCUGCAACUGUGAGGACCUAAAUCCUGCCCUUACAUUCCUAAAUGCUCCCUUGGGAAUUGGGACUAUCUUGGAUUGAGAACCACCACUCUAACCAAAGAUUUUCAUAUCUUUUUAAUUCAGAGCAAUCUCAAAAGGGAAUCAUUUACUUGAAAUUUGGUUUCAUGUUUGUGUCCUUUUCUUCUAUUAAACUAAAAUAAAAAUAAAUUUAAUACAGA